rnacentral:rRNA from 1 species
AGCUUAACAUUGUAAGUAAAUAAUAAUUAUGAAAGCAAAAAAUUAUGGCGGUAUUUUAAGCUUUUCAGAGGAAUUUGCUCUUUAAUGGAUAAAACACCAAAAUCUUACUUAGAUUUGUGAUUUCAAUUUGUAUACCACUAUUAAAACAAUUUAUAACUUUAAUUGUUCAAAUUUAUAAAACUAAAAUAUAUUAAGUCAAGGUGCAGUAAAAAUUUAAGGAUGAAGUGAAUUACAUUACUUUUUAGUGAGAUAAAUUUAUAAUAAUAUUUAGGAUUUGAAAGUAAAAUUAAAAUAGAAUGUUAAUUUGAAUUAAGCUCUAAGAUAUGUACAUAUCGCCCGUCACU